rnacentral:lncRNA from 1 species
GUCAAUUAUGAGCUCGAUUGUUUAGCUCGCGAGCUUACUCGUGAAUCGAGCAUGUAGUUUUAUUAGAUUACGACUUUUUAUUGUUCUUUCCAUGCACUAUUAUGACGAUAAUAUAUUAGAAAAGAUGGUAGUUAGCUUUAUACAAAUUAGUCUAAGGUAAGCAAGUUGGAUUCGAGCUCAAAACUCAUGCUCGGCUCAUAAAAGUUGGUUUUCGUUUCAAGUGCGAACCGAGCUCGAUUAUAAUGGUAAUGGUUUUUGUGACAAAAUCCCAAUUGCUAACUGGAGAUGCCAAACUAGUCAUAUUCAUCCUUUUCGUCUAUCGAGUUGACAAUCUCAUUGGUGUGUUUGUGUGGUUGUUCGCAGCAUCCGGACUGUCGGGAAGCAAAGAGGCAGCACAAAGUCAGAUAUCAGUAGGCAUGGGAAUGAUGGCCGGAUCAAACGUAAUGAUGCUCACCGUGUUGUGGGGAUCCUGCCUCAUAAUCGGAAACGUGGACAUUACAGCCUCUGCAUCUGCAGAUUCAGGAAAUCCACCACGACUUUGGCUGUCCAGUAAUCCCUGGUUCACUUUUCUUCGUUUCUGAUGCUUAGUUUUGCUCCUUCCUACAUUGACAUUUGUCUGUGUUUCCAGAAC